CUACGGGGCGCACCAGUGAGGAAUAUUGCACAAUGGGGGGAACCCUGAUGCAGCAACGCCGCGUGGAGGAUGACGCAUUUCGGUGUGUAAACUCCUUUUAUAUGUCAAGAAAAUGACGGUAGCAUAUGAAUAAGCACCGGCUAACUCCGUGCUAGCAGCCGCGGUAAUACGGAGGGUGCAAGCGUUACUCGGAAUCACUGGGCGUAAAGGACGCGUAGGCGGGUUGGAAAGUCAGGUGUGAAAUCCUACAGCUUAACUGUAGAACUGCACUUGAAACUUCUAAUCUAGAGUAUGGGAGGGGGAGAUGGAAUUAGUGGUGUAGGGGUAAAAUACGUAGAUAUCACUAGGAAUACCUAAAGCGAAGGCGAUCUCCUGGAACAUUACUGACGCUAAGGCGUGAAAGUGUGGGGAGCAAACAGGAUUAGAUACCCCGGUAGUC
rnacentral:rRNA from 1 species